rnacentral:lncRNA from 1 species
GCGUGCUUUCUUGCCAGAGCCGCCUCCCCUGCUGGUGAUGACCAUAUGCAGCCAAUGCUGAUGUGAACCUGAGUGAUGAACAAAUGCAGAUCUGCAAAGGAGCUGUCCUGAAGCACCAUGCUUACUCAAGUCAUGCAGCGAGAGUCAGCAUGCCUGGAAAGGUACUUCAAAGCACACCCAAUCUGGCUGACUGCACUACCUCAAGAAAACUGCCUUUCUACCAUCUGCAAGUUCCUAAGAAGCUACUUUAUGAAGCAAGCUAGCAAGGCGUACGUGUUAGGCAUGGCAGCACAGAGAACAAA